rnacentral:rRNA from 1 species
UGGGGAAUUUUGGCAAUGGGCGAAAGCCUGAUCCAGCAAUGCCGCGUGUGUGAAGAAGGCCUUCGGGUUGUAAAGCACUUUUGUCCGGAAAGAAAUCCUUGGCUCUAAUACAGUCGGGGGAUGACGGUACCGGAAGAAUAAGCACCGGCUAACUACGUGCCAGCAGCCGCGGUAAUACGUAGGGUGCAAGCGUUAAUCGGAAUUACUGGGCGUAAAGCGUGCGCAGGCGGUUUGCUAAGACCGAUGUGAAAUCCCCGGGCUCAACCUGGGAACUGCAUUGGUGACUGGCAGGCUAGAGUAUGGCAGAGGGGGGUAGAAUUCCACGUGUAGCAGUGAAAUGCGUAGAGAUGUGGAGGAAUACCGAUGGCGAAGGCAGCCCCCUGGGCCAAUACUGACGCUCAUGCACGAAAGCGUGGGGAGCAAACAGGAUUAGAUACCCUGGUAGUCCACGCCCUAAACGAUGUCAACUAGUUGUUGGGGAUUCAUUUCCUUAGUAACGUAGCUAACGCGUGAAGUUGACCGCCUGGGGAGUACGGUCGCAAGAUUAAAACUCAAAUGAAUUGACGGGGUCAUAGCUGUUUCCU